rnacentral:rRNA from 1 species
CCUACGGGAGACAGCAGUGGGGAAUAUUGGGCAAUGGGCGCAAGCCUGACCCAGCCACGCCGCGUGAAGGAAGAAGGCUUUCGGGUUGUAAACUUCUUUUCUCAGGGACGAAGAAAGUGACGGUACCUGAGUAAUAAGCCACGGCUAACUACGUGCCAGCAGCCGCGGUAAUACGUAGGGGGCAAGCGUUAUCCGGAUUUAUUGGGUGUAAAGGGCGUGUAGGCGGGAGGGCAAGUCAGAUGUGAAAACUCAGGGCUCAACCCUGGGACUGCAUCUGAAACUGUAGUUCUUGAGUACUGGAGAGGCAGACGGAAUUCCUGGUGUAGCGGUGAAAUGCGUAGAUAUUAGGAGGAAUACCAGUGGCGAAGGCGGUCUGCUGGACAGCAACUGACGCUGAGGCGCGAAAGCGUGGGGAGCAAACAGGAUUAGAUACCCUUGUAGUC